GCGGCGAGUGGGGAGCGGCGGGUAUCAGGACGGCUUUUUACCGUCGUGGUGUUCGUAGCCGCGGCCAAAGUGACGUUCCAGCCGGCCUUGCAGCA
rnacentral:tRNA from 1 species